UCCAGACUGAACAUCUCAGUUCUCUCAUCUGGGCACCGGGUUGACAGGAACACGGCUGGUUUAAAAGUGAAGGAAACACCAUGACCACAAUCACCGUUGAGUAUUGUAAAGGAUGAAGUUACGCAUACCGCUACCAGGAACUAGCCGGCGUCCUCAGGCAGGUUCCUGGUGUGAAGGUUGCUGGAGUCGAAGGGAGGGCAGACAGCUUUGAGGUUUUACUGGGUGAUGAGCUGCUCUACUCAAAACUCAAUACGGGGCAGUUUCCUGAUCCUGAACAGAUGGCAGCGAGGGUGAAGGAGAUGGUUCCUGGAGGAAAUGUGAAGAAGACGUCAAACCGCAAGAAUCUUAAAGAGAGAUGCCGCCUCCAGUAGAAGAUGGGAGGGUCUUCAACCUGUGUUCACUGCAACAAAGGGAUGUCUUUGUCUUUUUUCAAAGUAAAUUUCACAUCUAAAAAAAAAAAAAAGACAUGCUAAAGUUCCCCCACAGUUACCGUACUAUUUGCUGUAAAAGUAAAUAGGAAGUUGGUGAGAAAAGCUCAGAAGAGCCCGCCCCUGAUGUGCACUUCUGUUUAUGAAUGCACGCACUUAAACACUUGUGGUGUGUGCACGAUGCAAAUGUAGAAGUGUUUCAGUGGACUGGCUCCUCAACAACUGUUUACAAUUAAAACUAAUUGACAAUAUCACAAUAUUCUCAUCAACUUACUACAUGUUUUAGAUUUUCCCUGUUUUAGAUGAGUCCAAACGGAAGCUUUGGAUUUUUGUUCCCACGGUCCGAUGGUCAAUAUUUCACCAAAUUCAUUACUCGUCGCUUUGUUAGUUUUAUUUUCCUGUGGGGACGGGGGUUUCAGAGCAGCCAUGAAAACUACUGACUGUAUUUUCAUUUGACUGGGGUCAGAGUUCAGCUGUAAUCUUAAACAUAACCCUCUUGUGUUCCCACGGCGUCUCGUGGGAAAUUAGGCAAAUGAGAGCUCUAGGAUGUAGAUUACGGGGAGGCUUUACGACACCCGGCACGACGGCAUGUGGUUGCAAAUCAUAAAACAAGAAAUCAUGGGAGUAUUAAGUUCUACCGGGGGGGGGGGUCCUAAAAGUGCUGAUUUACAGCGUUCUAGUGACGACCAGAGCAGUCAUCAUGAAGUUGAAAGCUUUACUGUCGUUUCCGGCAUUCACAUCACAAAAAAAAAAAAACUUUGGUGGAGCAAUCCUGUCAGGAGUUCACUCUUUCAAUCCGGCGGUUGAUGGAGCUGAAACUAGAGGCUUUUGGUCAGGGGGGGGGAUUCCUGCUGCUGGCAUCUCCAGCCUCUUCCCCCCCCCGAACCUUUACGGAUCAACCUAGAGCUAGUCACAACAGUCUAGUCACAACAGUCUGGUAGUUACCGUAUUUUCCGCACUAUAAGCCACACCUUUAAUUUUCUCAAAAACCAGCAGUGCGCCUUAUAAUGCAGUGCGUUUUAUAUAUGAUCAUUACAGUAAUUUCUGUUACUCUAGUCAGGGGGAUUGUGGGUAAUGUAGUUGGUGUCGCAGAAGUAACGGCGCUAAAAACGUCAGAAAUCGUCACAGACGUUCAAGACAACAGCAGCGACGCUGACUCGCAUAAUGGCGACUUUGACGAGACGGAGCAAAGCUGGUUUUUAUUUUGUUAAUAAAGUUUGACAUACGAUACUUCCUGUUUUUUUUUUGCAUUUGCUGUAGGAUUUUGUAGCAUUUCCUGUAGCGCAGCUCCAUCAGGUAGAUACGUAACUCAACCCCAGAUUCAGAUUCAGAUUAUGUUUAUUUGCCAUUUGUGUAACACACAUAGGCAAUUGUCACGUUGGUAACAGUGUGCCUACUCAGAGUAUUCUUUUCACGUGUAAAUAAAUAAAACACAGACACAAACACCGCAGUGAGGAAUAGCAAAAAAUAAAGUGCAGGCAUAUACAUUAAAUAAAUUAUAGUCCAGUUAUGAUUAUUAUUAUUUUUUAGUUAAGGUGGCAGCCACUAUAGUACGGUAUUUUACCAGAUAUUUAGUGAGCCUUAUAAUGCGGUGCUCCUUAUAGUGCAGAAAAUAGGGUAAUUUAACCGCACAACAAGCCAUAUUAUCCUUAAACUAGAAUAAUUCUUCACAGCUCAGUCAAGUUUAAGAGUAUUAAAAGUCCACCUUGAAGGUCAGAAGACCCAACUCUUUAUUUAAAUUAAAUUCAAAUGUAUCUCUUCCCCUGCAAAUAUUUGGGCACCUGUGGAUCCUCCUCGCAGUACCUGUCCAACCUACAUUUUUCCUAUGAUUACUUUUUUGUUUUAACUUUGAAGUGAUGAUAUGUGACACGUGUCACUGAAAUCUGUCGUAUUUUCAACAUGUAAAUCAGCCCAAACCUCAUAAAUGUCAUCGCAGUUCAACCAAAUGUAUUAACAUACUUGAACUAACCCGCUUUUGCACGUUUACUUACUUUGAUCUUAUUUCUUUAAUCAACUGAUGCCUAAAUGAAUAUAGUAACGUAUAAACAAGUUUGAGCUUUUACAGGCUGUUUCAGAAUAAGCAGUCCCUUUUCAUGUCCUGUAAUUGUAGUUUUGGAUCCACGUUUCAGUCACAGGUCACCGGCGGAAGGAUAUCACGAUGCUGAGGCUCUUUGGUUAAGAAAAUACUAAACUAAAUACUAAACAAGUGUCUAGCGACCACCGUGUCCAGGCAUUCAGGGCUCUAUCUCACCACGGCACGUCGCAUUAACCAUCAGCACCAACGCGGUGCGUGCAGCUGCCGGUGCACGGUUACUACAGCUAGUCUAGACUUAUGUGUCAUAUAAAGUUUGGGAACAUGAGACUAACCAGCCUAAGCCUUGUACCCAAUGUUCAAUUUAAUGAAGGAGAAAAAAAACUAUUAAACUGUCUUAUUAAUAAAUUUUCUACAUGUAUUCA